GACGAACGCUGGCGGCGUGCUUAACACAUGCAAGUCGAACGCUGACGCACAGCUUUUGUUGGGUGGAUGCGUGGCGAACGGGUGAGUAACACGUGAGUAACCUGCCCCCUUCUUUGGGAUAACGCCCGGAAACGGGUGCUAAUAAUGGAUAUUUACUGGUCUUCGCAUGGGGGUUGGUGGAAAGGGUCUUUCUGGUGGGGGAUGGGCUCUCGGCCUAUCAGCUUGUUGGUGGGGUGAUGGCCUACCAAGGCUUUGACGGGUUGCGGGCAUGAGAGGGUGACCGGUAACAGAGGGACUGAGAUACGGCCCAGACGCCUAAGGGGGGCAGCAGUGGGGAAUAUGGCACAAUGGGCGCAAGCCUGAUGCCGCGAGGACGCGUGAGGGAUGGAGGCUGUCGGGUUGUGAACCUCUUGCGCAAAUGGUCAAGCCGCAACAAUGGUUGUGGUGAGGGUAGUGGGUAAAGAAGCGCCGGCUAACUACGUG
rnacentral:rRNA from 1 species